rnacentral:rRNA from 1 species
CCAAGUUAGUCCUUGGAUGGGAGAUCACCUGAGAAUACUGGG